rnacentral:rRNA from 1 species
CGCUGGCGGCGUGCCUAACACAUGCAAGUCGAACGGACGAGGGGAGCUUGCUCCCCAAGUUAGUGGCGAACGGGUGAGUAACGCGUGAGCAACCUGCCCUUCAGAGGGGGACAACAGUUGGAAACGGCUGCUAAUACCGCAUGACAUAUAAGCAAGGCAUCUUGCAUAUACCAAAGAUUUAUCGCUGAAGGAUGGGCUCGCGUCUGAUUAGAUAGUUGGUGGGGCAACGGCCCACCAAGUCGACGAUCAGUAGCCGGACUGAGAGGUUGAACGGCCACAUUGGGACUGAGAUACGGCCCAGACUCCUACGGGAGGCAGCAGUGGGGAAUAUUGGGCAAUGGGCGCCAAGCCUGACCCAGCAACGCCGCGUGAAGGAAGAAGGCUUUCGGGUUGUAAACUUCUUUGACGAGGGACGAAGAAUGACGGUACCUCGAAAACAAGCCACGGCUAACUACGUGCCAGCAGCUGC